rnacentral:tRNA from 1 species
GCGGGAGUGGCGGAACUGGCAGACGCGCACGUUUGAGGGGCGUGUGGGUAACUCCAUACGGGUUCAAGUCCCGUCUUCCGCACCA